rnacentral:lncRNA from 1 species
CCAAGGACAUGGUGAAGCCGCCCUAUAGCUACAUCGCGCUCAUCACCAUGGCCAUCCAGAACGCCCCGGACAAGAAGAUCACCCUGAACGGCAUCUACCAGUUCAUCAUGGACCGCUUCCCCUUCUACCGGGACAACAAGCAGGGCUGGCAGAACAGCAUCCGCCACAACCUCUCGCUCAACGAGUGCUUCGUCAAGGUGCCGCGCGACGACAAGAAGCCGGGCAAGGGCAGCUACUGGACGCUGGACCCGGACUCCUACAACAUGUUCGAGAACGGCAGCUUCCUGCGGCGGCGGCGGCGCUUCAAGAAGAAGGAC